AAAGGCGGUCCUGCCGCCGCAAGAGGAUGGGGCUGCGUCCUAUUAGCUAGUUGGUAGGGUAAUGGCCUACCAAGGCUUUGAUGGGUAGCUGGUCUGAGAGGAUGGCCAGCCACAUUGGGACUGAGAUACGGCCCAGACUCCUACGGGAGGCAGCAGUGGGGAAUCUUGGACAAUGGACGAAAGUCUGAUCCAGCGACACCGCGUGGAGGAUGAAUGCCUUCGGGUUGUAAAACCCUUUUCUGGGGAAAGAAUAAGGACGGGAGGAAAUGCCAGUCCGAUGACGGUACCCCAGGAAUAAGCAUCGGCAAACUUCGUGCCAGCAGCCGCGGUAAGACGAAGGAUGCGAGCGUUAUCCGGAAUUACUGGGCGUAAAGGGCGUCUAGGCGGUCUAGUAAGUCAUUUGUGAAAUCCCUCGGCUCAACCGAGGAGGGUCUUGUGAUACUGCUGGACUUGGGUGUAGGAGAGGAGAGUGGAACUCACAGAGUAGCGGUGGAAUGCGUAGAUACUGUGAGGUACCCCGAUGGCGAAGGCAACUCUCUGGCCUGCCACCGACGCUGAAGCGCGAAAGCGUGGGGAGCAAAGGGGAUUAGAUACCCCCGUAGUCCACGCCCCAAACGAUGUUCACUUGGUGUCGGCCGCAUAUACUGGUCGGUGCCGAAGCUAACGCGUUAAGUGAACCGCCUGAGGAGUACGGCCGCAAGGCUAAAACUCAAGAGAAUUGACGGGUCCCCGCACAAGCGGUGGAGCACGUGGUUUAAUUCGACGAUAAGCGAAGAACCUCACCCAGGCUUGACAUACUAGUGGUAGGAACCUGAAAGGGGGACGACCCUGCCUUCGGGUAGGGAGCUAGUACAGGUGAUGCAUGGCUGUCGUCAGCUCGUGCCGUGGGAUGUAGGGUUAAGUCCCGAAACGAGCGCAACUCUUGUCGUUAGUUGCCAGCGGGUAAUGCCGGGGACUCUAACGAGACUGCUGGUGAAUAGCCGGAGGAAGGCGGGGAUGACGUCAAGUCAUCAUGUCCCUUAUGCCUGGGGCGACACACAUGCUACAAUGGGAGGUACAAAGGGUCGCAAUACCGUAAGGUGGAGCCAAUCUCAAAAAACCUUCCUCAGUUCGGAUUGAGGUCUGCAACUCGACCUCAUGAAGCCGGAAUCGCUAGUAAUCGCAGGUCAGCCACACUGCGGUGAAUAUGUACUCGGGGAUU
rnacentral:rRNA from 1 species